rnacentral:rRNA from 1 species
ACGUGCCAGCAGCCGCGGUAAUACGUAGGGUGCGAGCGUUAAUCGGAAUUACUGGGCGUAAAGCGUGCGCAGGCGGUUUGUUAAGAUAGGCGUGAAAUCCCCGGGGCUCAACCUGGGAACUGCGUUUAUGACUGGCAGGCUAGAGUAUGGCAGAGGGGGGUGGAAUUCCACGUGUAGCAGUGAAAUGCGUAGAGAUGUGGAGGAACACCGAUGGCGAAGGCAGCCCCUGGGCCAAUACUGACGCUCAUGCACGAAAGCGUGGGUAGCAAACAGGAUUAGAUACCCUGGUAGUCCACGCCCUAAACGAUGUCAACUAGGUGUUGGGAGGGUAAAACCUUUUAGUACCGGAGCUAACGCGUGAAGUUGACCGCCUGGGGAGUACGGCCGCAAGGUUAAAACUCAAAGGAAUUGACGGG